UCUUUCCCCUCUACCUUCUUUCCUUUGAUUUUGUAAUAACUUCUUUUACUGCUCUAUUUAUUCCUUUCUUUUGACAGAGAGAAAUGAGAGAAGCAGUAGUCAUUAAAAUCAGUUAUGUUUUUCUUCUUAACGUUUUCUAACACAAAGCAGCCUAACUCCUUACUGUAGCCCUGACUCAACCAGAUCUCCUGUUCUGGCUGACGAUUCAGCCCAGGAGGCUCCCCACUUCCAUUCCCCUUGCUGGUCAAAUCCACUCAAUACUACCUGAUGGACGGGAGGAAGCAAAGGUGAGGCCGCCUUUCGAUUCGCUUUUGUUUCACCUUUAAAGUCACUGCACUACAUUCAGUUUGAUUCCUUGUCCAGACCUUCAAACAGAAAAACCCAGAAUUUAACCUCAAUUUUUUCCCAGUGAUUUCCAACCAAGUGAAACUUAGAAACCUCACUGGUAGAAGAAAGGAUUAGAAUAUGUCUCAAGCUUCAAAAAGUGGUAAAGUGAGCAACACAAUAACUUCAUUCAACAAGAAUUUCUGGAACUCCCACCAUGUGCCUGGCACCAUGCUAAGUGCUAUGGAUACAACAGUGAAUAAGAAAGAAUUUCCAAAAUGUUGACACUACUAAAAGCAAGGAUUCUUUUACAGCUUACAAAAUAUCGAAAUAGUAUCUUACAUUUAUAUAGCGCUUUAUACAUAUGUCACCAUUUGACACCUAUAAUAACCUCUGAGGCAGGGCAGGUAUUAUUUUCAUCUCAUAUUUACUAAUGGUAAUGGUUAAUAUGCACUGAGAACUUGAAAUAAUAGUAAUAAUUUAAUGCUUUCCUCUAUACAGCACUGUGCUAAGCAUUUUAGACAAAUUUAUCUAACAUUAACAUGAUGUUUAUCCCCAUUUUAAAUGUAAAAAACGGAAAUUUAAGAGAGGACACAUAGUGAGUGACGGGACAGAGUUAAGAGUCAAACCCAAGUCUGUGUUUUCAGGGUCCAUAUGUUUAACCAGUUUGCUGAAUUCUGAGAGGGUAAAUGGUUUGCCCCAAAUAAUCUGGCUAGAAAGCAUGGAUUUUGACCCAUAAUUUCUGUGUCCUUUUAUAUUGUAAAUAUUUCAAUAUAUAAAUAUCUAUUGGAGCUACUCUAAGUAGAACAACAGAGCCUCUGUAGAAAGGAAAGAUUCCACUGUUUUUAAUUUCAAAUAACUCAGAAUGGACUUUAAAAAGAAUGCUGCCUGUUAGGGAAUGAGUCCAAAGUCCUGCCGUGUCUGUUAAUGAACUAUAUUAAUUAUUUGCAAACAUGUAAAAUGCAAGUGAAUAUUUUUGAUUUUCGAAGAAUCAGAAUCUCCUUGACUUUCAAGGAAGUGUUCACAGAAUUAAGCUGUGCACAAAAGAAAAGAGUAGAACAGGAGGGAAGCUAGUAGAAUCUGCACACGUUAAAAAGAAAUGAAUGAGUCUGAUGCUGAGCACUAGACUUCUAUAUCCACUGCUGACAUCAAAAAAGACAGAAUGGCCAAAAACUGAAGGAAAGUGCUACCAAGAGCUGCUACCAAGAACCUAUUGACUACAAGAGUAAUGUGGUCUUGAAAUAGAUUAUUUGGGAAAUCAUAGCAUCUCCUCUAUGGUUUACAGGGAAAGACCAGUGUCUUAUUUAGCACUUAUAUAUGUUCACUAAAUAUGCUACAAUUACCAUCCUAGCUAAAAGAUGUCACAGCCCAACCCUUCAUUAAAAAAAAAGAGAGAAAACGAAAAGUGAAGAAAAGCAGCUUAGCAAUUAUUCUCCAUGGGAAAAAUGACUAUAAAAUAAAUGCACCUCAUAAAUUAUUUGCAGACAUGUCCAUAUUAGAAUGAAAUAAGAUCUUUCAGAGGAUAACACACCUGUGCCAUGGAUAAUUGCCCUCAUUCACAAAUAAUAAGUGGUCUACCAGAUGUUUAGCCCCACACAGACAUAUGUAAGGCAAAGCAGUAGGAGAGGGUGUCUUAGCUCAGACCCGAGACGAUCUUUUUUAUCCUUUACAAGCUUCCAUGCUGUGUCAGCAGCUUAUUUAGUAAGGUAACCAAAAUCAUGGAGGAUUCCAACUGUUAAGUACUAACAUUUCACUUCAGCUAUUACACUUACAGGUAGAGAACCCCACAGGGUGAUUAGAAACCUGAAGUCUGAAUUAGAUGUCUACAUUUCUUUUGUUUCCUUUUUACUUUUGACAGAUGCAAACAAUAAAAAUUUUCUUAAAUUUCAAGGGUCUCAUCAAUAUGAAAAGGGUAUUGCAAAGCUAAAUAGAACUUCAAAAUGUGGCUAGAAACAACUUUACUUAUCUAAUGAAUGUGAUUCCAUUUUGGAGAAUAAAUAUUAGAAUGAUUCUAUAAUUAUCAUUCUUGUUUUCUGUAAUAUUCAAUGUACCAAAAGACAUCAUGUGAAAUAAAGGCUGUUCCAGUUACUAAAGUGCUGACAGGGAGUAUUAUUGGUGCACUAUUGGCCUUCGCAGUGGCCUAGGUAUAACUGGUGUUAUACAAGAUGAUUUCACUUGUUAGUUUGUUUCAGAAGUAUAUGUUCAAACAGGUGAAACAAGUUUAACUGUGUGACACUACUGUGAAUAUUACAUAACUGGUGAUUACAUCCAAAAGAUAAAUAUUAAUUAUAUUCCCAAACUCACAGAAAGCCCUCGCAAGUAAGUUACAAUAGCAUAAAAAAUGUCUUUUUAGCAUGCCAGUGGGCCACGAUCAGUGUAACAUCUCUCUCAUUAAUAUCAAAGGAGAUUUGUGUGAACAUGUUGUGUCUCCCUUGAUGACAAACUCAAGAGCACAAGGAAUCCACCCUCAAGUACCCAGAGCUGAUGUUAAUAAUAAUACAUGCACAAUGUUCACAGCUAGCAUUCUUCCCCUUCUUCAUCUGAGAACGGCUCCCAGCCAUACCCUGCACUUACGCGCACACACUCACACUUAUACACGACUACAGCGGGAACUUCCACACCUCUACAUGAUCAUGCUGCCGAGACAGACUUAAACAGUCCAGGAGUGGACACCUGACCUUAGCUAGACCAAUCAGAGUCCUUGAAAGAAAAUCAGCCUCCUCUCUUUCAGAGGACCUUUGGCAAGGCGCCAAGUAUGUGGAAGAAGCAAACUUUCAGGGAGAAAGGGUGAAACUAAAAGGCCAAGAGGAGCAGUGACGAGAGACGGCGUGAGCCCUGAGGCCUGUCUAGUCUCUGCUUCCAGCUCUUCUUACGACCCUGUUGAAUCCCUGUCCUCCUGCAGUUUAAGUUGUGCAAAUUGUACCUGGAUUCCAUGAAACACUAAUUUACUUUUUUGGCCUAAGCUAGUUUGAUUUCUGUAGCUUAUAAUCAAAGAGACCUAACAAAUUAUAUUAAGCACAUGUAGCAUGUAAGUCAAGUUUUAACCAUUUUCUUCCAAAAUUAAAGUUGACUCACAACUUAAAAUCCUACCACAACAUAAGCAAAGACUCAGAGGCAAAACUGAGAAUGAUACACCUAGGGAAAGAAAAGCAGUAAGUACAACCAAAUUGAACUGAUCCUGCAAUGGAGAGGAUGGAAGUAGUUUUACCAAGAGUAAACGAAAGUAAAGCAGGAAGAACACCAGAAAGAGCACUGUGAAGGGCAGUAAGUGUUUGCAGGAUAUACCUAGCAGGGGAGAAUCAUGGUGAAAGCAACCAUUUAGAAAGAUUACAGGUGAAGGAUUGGAGAGAAAAACAAUAGGAGGCUAAUGCAGGGGUCUUUACACAAGACGUGGUGCCGGGACUGAGGCGAUGGGAUGGAGGAGAAAAACGAAAACGUUCAUAUUUCAUAAGAAUAAUUAACUAGGAAGAGGUGGGGAUAUGAGGACAAACACUUAUUGAGCACCCAUUACAUGUCAGUCACGGUUUUAAAUAAAUCUCUCUCCAUUUUAAAAUAUAUGUAUAUCUAUACAUAUGUAUAGAUAUACACUCAUGCACACAUACUUUAAUCUUCACAACAACCUUAUAUGGUAAGAGGUAAUCCAUUUUAACUGAGAAAACUGAGACCUAGAAAUAUUACAUUAAAAUUCCCAAGUAAAGUUCAAAUCCCAGUCCAUCUGACCUAUUUCACGUUGCUUCCCAAGCCUAAUCAGAUCCGGAAAACAAAGGCGAGGACGCAGCCCACAGAAAAAUGGAAACAGCCUGAAGGCAGUUGGAAAUAUAAUUUGCACAAUCUUCCUUAAAAUAGCAUAUCAUUUCAGACCAAUAUAAUGUUAGCUUUGAAAAUUUGUGCACAUCUGAGAUAAAUGUGAAAACAACAAAUAGGUAACAUCACAAAGUUGUUACAGCAAUUGGACUAGUGGAAAGCAAAAAUAAAAAAGAAAUUGCAUUUGUGGAGGACAGGGAAAUAUAUGUCCUUAUUUAAGCUUAGUGAGACCGGAAUUAUGUCUGUCUGGUUCAGCCCUGUAACUUCAGGAUUUAUCAAAGUGCCUGUCACAUAAUGUUUCAAUUAAUAGUUUUAAAUUUUGAAGUCUUAAUUGAGAAAGACUUUGAGGACUAUAUGUAAACCCAAGAGGUCUUUACAUAAUAACAGAAGAGAACUUGAUAAAUUCAGGAUGGUCACCGAUGCGGAGUGGACAGGAGGGAUAAUGUGGAAGGGAGGAAAUCCCGUUGAUUUCACUUUGAAGAGUCCUGCAUGUUGAAGAAGAAACCAGGCCUUUUGUUUAUUUUUGGUCCUUUUUAUUUUUUUUAGUGGAUUAUCUUUCUGUUCAGACACCACAAUCGGCCAUGGAUGAUAAGCUGAUGGCUCCUCAACAGGCUGUAUGAUGUCAUAUUAACUUCACUUUCUGGCUGUGGGAUUUGGGGAAGUCAGUCACUGCCUCAGAGUCUCAGUUUGUGUAGGAGAAAGCAAACACAGCAGAGUAUUCUAAAGAUGAAUGGAGCGUCUUGAAUAUUUUCUCUUACCUAAUUUUGUUAACAAAGGGUUCUAGAUUGCUCUGCAUUUCAUCUCACUCAGCUAGACCUGCAGCAAAAGUCAACAGCAAACAGGUGGAAGUAACUCUGCUGGACCUAAUUCAUAAAGGUGUAAAUAAUACUCAAUACAUUUAGCUGUUUUCAGGAAAAAUAUUUAGCAGUGGUAAAUUUUUCCAAAUGAAAUUUUAUACAACUUUGCCCCCUGAAAAUAGUAAAUAAUACAUAAAUAAUAAAAGUCAAGCUUGCCUACAUCAAUGUGGGAUUGAGAAGAGGCAACAUCACACAUUGCUUGGUCUUCAUGCAUCCUCCGAGGCUCUAGGGUACCUCCAGAAUGCUUUAGGUUCCUGGAACCUUAAAUUAUAAGUAAAAUACUAAGUAAAAUGUAAAGUUCUCUAUCAACUGACAGUAUUAAGUCAAAAUGGAGAGUUUGCUUGAAUUUUUAUUCUGGUUCCUUAUGACAUUACUUAAAACAGUGAUUCUCAAACAUUGGUAUGCAUCAGAAUCACCUGGAGGGCUUGUGAAAAUACAGAUGGCCGGGCCCAGUCCUAGAGAUUCUGGUUCAGCAGAUCUUGGGUGGAAACUGAGAUUUACCUAACAAAUUCCCAGGUGAUACUGAUGCUACAGGUAGAGGGGCCACAGUUGGAGAAUUUGAAUGAUAAUUUUCAGCUGUUUCUCAAUGGGAUCU
rnacentral:lncRNA from 1 species